GAGGCGAUAGCUCAGACGGGAGAGCAUUCCCAUACACGUUCCACGUGUAUGGGAAAGGUCGGGGGUUCAACUCCUCCUCGCUUCA
rnacentral:tRNA from 1 species